GGUUGAAUAGUUUAAAAAAAACUGUUGAUUGUUGAUCAGCUAUUAGGUUGUUGUGCCUUUCAACUU
rnacentral:tRNA from 1 species